UUGCAUGCUUAAACUAGACAUCUUUAGGGACCUUUUGGUGUUGAGUUUGCAUUUUUAUCAUUUCUGGUUGUUGAGAUAUAAUCUGGUUAAUGUAGGUGUGACAAUGUGUGUCACACCAUUGCUUGCUCAAUUUGAUGAUUUUCUUUGCCAUGCCAAAUAAAUGUCAAUUUAUGUGAUUUUUUGCAUGAUGCUUCUUCUGGAUGUUAGGAUUGAUCAUGAAGUUUUGUGGAAUUUUUGGAAUGAUU
rnacentral:lncRNA from 1 species